rnacentral:ncRNA from 1 species
GUAAACGAUGUCUACUUGGAGGUUGGUGUCUUGAACACUGGCUUUCGGAGCUAACGCGUUAAGUAGACCGCCUGGGGAGUACGGUCGCAAGAUUAAAACUCAAAUGAAUUGACGGGGGCCCGCACAAGCGGUGGAGCAUGUGGUUUAAUUCGAUGCAACGCGAAGAACCUUACCUACUCUUGACAUCCAGAGAACUUUCCAGAGAUGGAUUGGUGCCUUCGGGAACUCUGAGACAGGUGCUGCAUGGCUGUCGUCAGCUCGUGUUGUGAAAUGUUGGGUUAAGUCCCGCAACGAGCGCAACCCUUAUCCUUGUUUGCCAGCACUUCGGGUGGGAACUCCAGGGAGACUGCCGGUGAUAAACCGGAGGAAGGUGGGGACGACGUCAAGUCAUCAUGGCCCUUACGAGUAGGGCUACACACGUGCUACAAUGGCGUAUACAGAGGGCUGCGAGCUAGCGAUAGUGAGCGAAUCCCACAAAGUACGUCGUAGUCCGGAUUGGAGUCUGCAACUCGACUCCAUGAAGUCGGAAUCGCUAGUAAUCGUGGAUCAGAAUGCCACGGUGAAUACGUUCCCGGGCCUUGUACACACCGCCCGUCACACCAUGGGAGUGGGCUGCACCAGAAGUAGAUAGCUUAACCUUCGGGAGGGCGUUUACCACGGUGUGGUUCAUGACUGGGGUGAAGUCGUAACAAGGUAGCCCUAGGGGAACCUGGGGCUGGAUCACCUCCUUA